GGUUCCCUCCGAAGUUUCCCUCAGGAUAGCUGGAGCCCAUUACGAGUUCUAUCAGGUAAAGCCAAUGAUUAGAGGCAUUGGGGACGCAACGUCCUCGACCUAUUCUCAAACUUUAAAUAGGUCAGAUGGCUCGGCUGCUUCGGUGAGCCGUGCCACGGAAUCGGGUGCUCCAAGUGGGCCAUUUUUGGUAAGCAGAACUGGCGAUGCGGGAUGAACCGGAAGCCGGGUUACGGUGCCCAACUGCGCGCUAACCUAGAACCCACAAAGG
rnacentral:ncRNA from 1 species